CGGAGACGUCGGCGGGGGUCCUGGGAAGAGUUCUCUUUUCUUCUUAACUGCCUCUUGCCCUGGAAUCGGUUCGGCCGGAGGUAGGGCUACACGGCAGGCAAAGCACCCUAAGUCUUGGGGUGUCCGGCGCGCUCCCGACGGCCCGUGAAAAUCCGGGGGAGCGGUUCGUUCUCACGCCUGGUCGUACUCAUAACCGCAUCAGCUCUCCAAGGUGAACAGCCUCUCGUCGAUAGAACAAUGUAGAUAAGGUAAGUCGGCAAAAUAGAUCCGUAAC
rnacentral:rRNA from 10 species